CCCCAACAUCAGGAACAUACCUGGUUCACAUACCCAGCAACACAACACAAUAUACCACACACAUCACAUACCAGCAGUCCAACAGUGGUCAGUAGGUAAAACUUGCAAAGCAUAAUACAUGAAGAAUAGGCAAUAAAAACAUUAAAAUAAUGUUAA